rnacentral:misc_RNA from 1 species
GGGGGAGAAGGGAGGAACUGGCAAAGUCGUACGAGGUCACAUAUUGCACCUGAUGAAGUGCCUCCCCAGCCUGAAGCAAUUCAACAAGGGCAGUGGGCAAGCUUGCCUCCUGAGUUGCUUCUGGACAUAUUACGAAGAGUUGAAGAGAGUGAAACCUCAUGGCCUGCUAGGACUGUUGUCCUUUUUUGUGCUUCAGUGUGCAAGUCAUGGAGAAACAUUACACAGGAAAUUGUUAAAACUCCCGAGCAGUGUGGAAGGCUCACGUUUCCCAUUUCACUGAAACAGCCGGGACCUCGAGACUCUCCAAUUCAG